CUAUGCGCCUUGCCAGCCCGCUCAGGUGUGCCAGCAGCCGCGGUAAUACGUAGGGGGCAAGCGUUAUCCGGAUUUACUGGGUGUAAAGGGAGCGUAGACGGCAGCGCAAGUCUGGAGUGAAAUGCCGGGCCCAACCCCGGAACUGCUUUGGAAACUGUGCAGCUCGAGUGCAGGAGAGGUAAGCGGAAUUCCUAGUGUAGCGGUGAAAUGCGUAGAUAUUAGGAGGAACACCAGUGGCGAAGGCGGCUUACUGGACUGUAACUGACGUUGAGGCUCGAAAGCGUGGGGAGCAAACAGG
rnacentral:rRNA from 1 species